rnacentral:lncRNA from 1 species
GUCUAGAUACAUCAUUAAGAAUGCUCUCGCUCAGAUAUGGACUUUAUCCUGUCUAUGCUAUUAUUGUUAAUGUUUUCCUAUUAUCAUCAUUAUCUCUUUUUAAUUACAGGCAUAGAUGGAAAUGUAAAUCAUCUCUACUCUGACCUAAUGAAGGAGCAAUUGCAUUUUCUUUCCUGUACUGGGAGAGGAUACAGAUGAAGCAGACUCCCCAAGCCACGGGCCUGAGCACAAGGCUUUUCAUGCCACCUGCCCUUCCAUGUUACUCCUCUUGGUGUUUUCCUCAUCAGUGUCACUGGAAGAUGACUGAAGGUGCUUGGUUUUAGAGCUGAUCCACUACACCAAGCGUUAUUCCCCUGGCAGUUUGUCUCGUAGAUGUUUGCUAUUUGUCUACCUCUGUUCCAUCUGCACUGGUGAACUUUUUCGAAACAGGAAAACCAUUUCCUCCGCUGGAUGCAUCAUGCAACUCUGUCUCACCGAGUUAUCCUGGCAUGGAGUCUGCCCUGCUGGCUGUCAAGGCUUAUGCUGAUUUUGUAGCUCUCUGCUGGUGUUUAUGCUACUUAUGCAUCACGAACAACAGGAUGGCUAGUUUGCAGUGGAAACAAUUCCUGUGGCUGGUUGGUGUGGUGAAUUCCUUGCUGAAUCAGGUACACCAAGCAAGAGUCCCACGCCGAAUUUCCUGCAGACUAAGGAAGGCUGCACUGAGGGAGCACACCUAGAAAACCUUGCUGUUCUUCUCCUCUUGCUAUUUCACUUGUAUUUUGGGGCAUUUCCUAAUGUUUGCUGAGUGAGGCUUCCUUCUGUGGCCCCCUGCACACCUAACCCUCCUGCAGUGCAAACAGAAAGAAAAGGCUGUGCUCUAUCACAUCAGUUGAGACCAGGAAAGGCAGUGUAGCUGAAGGGAUAAGGAGACUUUUGUCUGAGUGUGCCCAAUCUGUGACUUGGUUGGCCCCUCUCUUAUUUUAACCUCUAGGUCCUGAAGUUAAAAGUGGAGCCUGGGAUCCCUGAGUUUUAUCAUUUUUCUGUAGCAGAUACUUUGCCAUUUGGUUACAAACUAUGAGUCGAGGCCCUCUCUCCUCGCCAAGCUCCAUAAAAGAUAAUUACUCCUGGAGUUCAAGUGGUGGCAUGUCUUGCAAGAGAUCUGGAAGCCUAGUAUGCAACCUCUCAGAUAGACAUUGUAAUCGUGCCUGUGAUUACCCUCCUCCUUUUUUGUUCCCAGCAAUUUAAGACGUUCACGCAUUGAAAACUUGCUGGAAAAAAUAAAAUCUCUUUCAAAAAUGUGCUCAUUGAGACCACACUACCUGUAUUCUGGUUGCGGGUCAUUAGUUAAGCGUGUGGACUGGUGAAAUCAUGGGUGUGGGGUCCUGAACACGGAGAAGUCUGCUUACAGCGUGAUGGUAGCUCGAUGAGGUGUGGCUGUAUGUCCGCACCACACAAAGGUCGGAACAAGGGACACUUCUCGUCAGGGAAUAAUGUUUCCCUUGUUUAGAGCCCAUACGUUUUCUUUUAAACAUUGAUUCUGCUUUGUCUCUGGUGAUAUCUCCCGCAGAUAGAUGUUGGCCUCUGUGCUUGGCCUAAAUUCUGUUGUACUUACCUCAUUACUCCCCUAAUGACGAGCUGACAAAUGCUCUUGCUUGAUUUACUGGCGAUGUUACAGGUGUUUGGAACACUUGUCAGUGCUGUGCUACUACAUGCCUAAUUUUUCAAAUGGCGAGGUGUGCUAGCUUCUCUUGUGGAGUGAGUGGCCACAUGAAUUCA